AGAUUGAAAUGGACAAGCGAGAUGGUGUGUUUGGUCCACAGCCAAUGGCAGUGCCCCCUGCUCAGCAGAUGUCACGGGUCGAUCAGCCAUAUCAUCCCACUGUUGGAUAUCCUCCUCCACAAGCUUAUGGGCAGCAAUCUCAAGGCUACCCACCUCCUCAAGCUCAACCUCAAGGAUACCCACCUCCUCAAGCUCAACCUCAAGGCUACCCACCUGCUGGUUAUCCACCUCUUCAAGCUCAACCUCAAGGCUACCCACCUGCUGGUUAUCCUCCACCGGGUUAUCCAUCUUCUGGCCAUUAAAUGAGAUAUACACAAGUGUCUAGUGCAUGUAAAUUUGGAACUAUAUUUUUAAUGAGAUUACUUGCUUAUUGACUGAUACAUUUUUCCAAACUGGAUUUCUUUGUGCAAAAAGAGAUAAACAAAGCGAACUUCAGUGACCAAAUAUUCAUGUGUAUAUUAGAGUUGAGUAUUGCAUUCAAAUAUUCAUGUGUAUAUUAGAGUUGAGUAUUGCAUUUAAAAUUUACGUGGCUUAUUUGUGGAGCUAUUUCUCACGAAUCUUCAUUUUACGUUGCAACUGUGUUUGUUCUGUAAUAUCCUUACUAAGAAAUCGAAACUUUGGUUUAUAAGGCAGUGAGAUUUCUGGUACUUGAGAUCUCUUCAUUUGUAAUUGUGGAUUUGCUUCAAAAAUACUUUUUCAACCUUUGCUUAUUCGAGAACAAUUGAUUUGUGCGUCAACCUUGCUUCAAAAACGCCCCAUCCCAGUCAGAUAUUAUAUGAGAGAGGAGUGAAUCUUUGAUUAAAUAAUACUACUAGUAUAUCACAAAAGUGUGUUAUGAUUACAUACUAAAUGUUAAUUUCAUAUACUUAAUCUUUAUGAAAUAGAUGUGGUCUGGUCAGUUGGGUAACAAACAACCUAAAAUUGUCCCAUUUAUUUGAUAUAAUAUUUGUUACAUAAAAUUUUCAUAAUGUAUAUUAAAAACUUUAAUAUCAAUGCACUCCGACAGACAGUUGAG
rnacentral:lncRNA from 1 species